CUACGGGAGGCACCAGUGAGGAAUAUUGGUCAAUGGGCGUAAGCCUGAGCCAGCCAUCCCGCGUGCAGGAAGACGGCGCUAUGCGUUGUAAACUGCUUUUCCAGGGAAAGAAAACCCCCGACGUGUCGGGGCUUGCCGGUACCCUGGGAAUAAGCAUCGGCUAACUCCGUGCCAGCAGCCGCGGUAAUACGGAGGAUGCAAGCGUUAUCCGGAUUUAUUGGGUUUAAAGGGUGCGUAGGCGGAUUAAUAAGUCAGUGGUGAAAACCUUCAGCUUAACUGGAGACUUGCCAUUGAUACUGUUAGUCUUGAGUACGGUCAAGGUAGGCGGAAUGUGUAAUGUAGCGGUGAAAUGCUUAGAUAUUACACAGAACACCGAUUGCGAAGGCAGCUUACUGGGCCAUUACUGACGCUGAGGCACGAAAGCGUGGGGAGCGAACAGGAUUAGAUACCCCCGUAGUC
rnacentral:rRNA from 1 species